rnacentral:lncRNA from 1 species
ACAAAACAAAGGAUCAUAAAAAAUGGGAGAAUACAGAGAACAGAUCAAGUAUACAAAGAUUAGGGUUUAGAACGAUUACUUGGGUGGCCCUCACUAAAAUCCUCAAGCUCCGACGCAGAUAAUCUAGAAGCCGUCAGAGGAACCGUAACUAUCGUAAAGAUUCCAUCGGAGAAACACAGACGUCGGCCGUCGACGGAGAAAACAAAUAGCGACAAAAAAGGUAAACUGAGAAAUAUUAUUUUCUCAACAAAAAAUUUUGACCAAUAAGGAGACUACACAUGGCGGCAAGAGACGUCUCUUAUUGUUUCGAAAUAAAAAACGUUUUUUCAACAUUUGGGCUGGAUUCUAUUAUUUUUUAUUAAAAAAUGAUAAGAAACGUCUUAGAGACUGGGAUAAAGAUGGUCUGAUUAUUCUUUUUUUAGGGGUUAUUGAGAGUUGAAUUUAGAAAGAUUUUGGUUAAUUUUGAAGUUAUGAGAUUUGUUAAAUCUUCCAAAGGUUUGUUGGAUUUAUAAAAUUUACUGAGAAUUUUGUGGAUUUAAAAAAUUCAUAGAAUAUUUUUAAUAUAACAGACUUUGAUUUAUGAGUUAAAUUGUAAAAAACAAAUUAUCCCAAAAAUACCAGAUUUUAAUAGAAUUAUAGAAUCAUUGAAAUAAAAUUUUUUUAAAUAACAAUAGAUUUUGAUUAGAUUAUAAAAAUCAUAAAACCGAUAACAAUAAUAACAAUAGAUUUUAAAGAAUGUUAUAAUCCAUAACUAAUAACAGCGAAAUCUAUUAAAAAUAUAAAAUUCUACAAACCAAUAACCAUAGAAUCUAAAACUCUAAAAAUCUUCAUAAAUCAACCUUCCAAUAAUCCCUUUUUAUUUUUUUUAUUCAUUGGUUCAUAAACAUUUAUUUAUUUUACAAUAGAAUAUGAAAAUUUUUUUUAAAAAAACAGGUAAACAAUAAACACUAUUUGUCAUCCUAGGAAAAGCGUUGUGUUUGAGGAUUUCAAAAAAGUUUUGUGUCAUAAGACUCCGAGAAGAAUUUUGUGCUGAAAGAUCUCUUAUAAUUUGUGAUAUGUCGUAAAAUGGAUGAACUGGAAAUGAUAAGUUAUACUUAAAUCUAUUAUAUAAAAGUUGAGUUGUGUCUCACAAUCUUAACACAUCAGCAUCUAUCAUUUUGACACAUCAGCUUUUCUAUUAAUUGAUUGUCUAAUUUUUUAGAUUUCCUAGAAACUUAAAUAUUCUUCCAUAAAUCAAAGUGACAAUAUAGAAUUAUAAUAGAAAUUGAUUUAAGUUUUUAGUAUAUAGACAAUAUGAAUAUAAUUUGCUCUAAUCCCUCAGAAUAACAAAACCCUAGCCUUUUUAGAAAAAUAAAAGUGUCUUACUCGGUAAUGAUCAAAUACAUAAUCCAAGGAUGGAUUUGUGAUAACAAGUCGUGGAUGUGAUGGUGGUGAACAUAGGAUGCUUCAAUACAAUCAGAAACUUUGCGGCAGUGGAUAAGGCUGAUGAUAUGGUCCAUGGAUCGUAUACUAUAAAGGAAGAAGAGGAAACACAGAGAGAAAAAAUUGUACAUGGAGCAGUGGUAAGAGAAGGGCAUGGGAUCGUUAUGGAUCUGUGGAGAAGGAAAAGGAAUAACGGAUAAAAUGCUAGGAGGAGGACAUGUGAUCGUUAUGGAUCUGCGGAGAAGGAAAAAAAAAACGAAUACGAAGGCCAAGAUGAGGAAGAUGAGUACCAAG